rnacentral:rRNA from 1 species
CGAGUGGCGGACGGGGGAGUAAUGUCUGGGAAACCGCCCGAUGGAGGGGGAUAACUACUGGAAACGGUAGCUAAUACCGCAUAACGUCGCAAGACCAAAGAGGGGGACCUUCGGGCCUCUUGCCAUCGGAUGUGCCCAGAUGGGAUUAGCUAGUAGGUGGGGUAACGGCUCACCUAGGCGACGAUCCCUAGCUGGUCUGAGAGGAUGACCAGCCACACUGGAACUGAGACACGGUCCAG